UGUGGGGUCUCCAGGAAAGAUGGGAAGGAGCGGCCGGAGGACGGUUUCAGGCCCCUCCGGGGAACACUGACUCAGAUAGUCAGCUUCUGUGUGGCCAUGGAGACAAGAGAGGUCUCCGGGUGGCCUUGGGACGAUGCCGGGCCAGGCCCCAGGGUUUUUGUGGGGUGAGGAUGGGAGACGCCACCAUUGUGAUUAUUAUAAUGCUAUGGACCCCUGGGGCCAGGGCACCCUGGUCACCGUCUCCUCAGAGAGUACGAAGACCCCAGAUCUCUUCCCCCUCGUCUCCUGUGGGCCCUCUCUUGAUGAGAGCCUGGUGGCUGUGGGCUGCCUAGCCCGGGACUUCCUACCCAACGUCAUCACCUUCUCCUGGAACUACCAGAACGACACUGUAGUCAGAUCCCAGGACAUCAAGAACUUCCCGUCGGUCCUGAGAGAGGGCAAGUACACGGCCAGCUCCCAGGUGCUCCUGUCCUCCAGGGACGUCCCCCUGGUAUGCACUGUCAACCACUCCAACGGCAACAAGAAAGUGGAAGUGUGGCCCCUAGUAUCCAUCCAAGACGAGUCCCCAAAUGUGACCGUCUUCAUCCCGCCACGCGAUGCCUUCACCGGCCCUGGCCAGCGCACAUCCAGGCUCGUCUGCCAGGCCACGGACUUCAGCCCCAAGGAGAUCUCUGUGUCCUGGCUGCGUGAUGGAAAACCCGUGGAGUCAGGCUUCACCACGGAAGAGGUGCAGCCCCAGAACAAAGAGUCCCGGCCGGUGACCUACAAAGUCACCAGCAUGCUGACCAUCACUGAGAGCGACUGGCUCAACCAGAAGGUGUUCACUUGCCAUGUGGAACACCAACAGGAGGUCUUCCAGAAGAACGUGUCAUCCAUGUGCAGCACCAAUCCACCUGCCCCCAUCAAAAUCUUCGCCAUCCCUCCCUCCUUUGCUGGCAUCUUCCUCACCAAGUCGGCCAAGCUGUCCUGCCAAGUCACAAACCUGGGCACCUAUGACAGCCUGAGUAUCUCCUGGACCCGCCAGAAUGGUGAGAUUCUGAAAACCCACACCAACAUCUCUGAGAGCCACCCCAACGGCACCUUCAGCGCCCUGGGCGAGGCCACCAUCUGCGUGGAAGACUGGGAGUCGGGCGACGACUACAUAUGCACAGUGACCCACACAGACCUGCCCUUCCCGCUGAAGCAGGCCAUCUCCAGGCCCGACGCAGUUGCCAAGCACCCGCCCUCCGUCUACGUGCUGCCACCCACCCGGGAGCAGCUGAGCCUGCGGGAGUCGGCCUCAGUCACCUGCCUGGUGAAGGGCUUCUCACCCCCGGACGUGUUCGUGCAGUGGCUGCAGAAGGGGCAGCCCCUGUCCUCCGACAAGUAUGUGACCAGCGCCCCGAUGCCUGAACCCCAGGCCCCAGGCUUGUACUUCGUCCACAGCAUCUUGACCGUGAGCGAGGAGGACUGGAGCUCUGGGGAGACAUACACCUGCGUCGUGGGCCAUGAGGCCCUGCCCCACGUGGUGACCGAGAGGACCGUGGACAAGUCCACUGGUAAACCCACCCUGUACAACGUGUCCCUGGUCAUGUCUGACAUGGCCAGCACCUGCUACUGACCUGGUCCACCCUGCGCAGGGGUACCUGGAGUCUCUGGGGGACCCAUCGCUCUGUGUGUGCAUGCAUGCAGACUAACCAUGUCAAUGGGGUGAGGUGUUGCAUUUUAUAAAAAUUAGAAAUAAAAAGAUCCAUUCAAAAGA